CUUUGCUGCUGCCUCCAGGUGAGCACUCACCAACUCAGAGUUGUCUCUGCUCUUGGUUGUUGUUUUAUUCUACAUGCUGCUUGUUUAUUUAAACAGGCUAUUUAAUCAGUCUAUUUGUUAGGUUUGUUCAGGCAGCUUAAUUGCUGGUUUUAUUUAGGCAGUCUAUUGCUGUGUUUAGCUAGGCAGUCUAUUGCUGAGUUUAUCUAGGCAGUCUAUUGCUGUGUUUAUCUAGGCAGUCUAUUGCUGUGUUUAUCUAGGCAGUCUAUUGCUGUGUUUAUCCAAGCAGUCUAUUGCUGUGUUAUUUCCUAUACCACUUCAUGCUAUGUAGCUGCUGUAUCACUUGUUAACAUCUGUUGCUGUAUUGAGGCUAUUUAUCUGAUAGAUUCUGUAUACUGCUCAUUGAUUUAUCGUUAUUCUGGGUUACUUUAUACUGUUUUCUCACUCUGCUGUAUGGGGAAUGGGUGCCCCUGCUAUGAUGCUUUGGCUCUGCCUGUAAUCUGUUCCCCUGCUGGGCUCUGUCGCCCAUACCCUUCUCCCUUAUUCCCCACCUGCUCCCCGUGGCCCCUGGCCGCUUGCAGUGCCGCACGAUCACCACGCGGUAGGCCACGCUCUGUUUUUGCAGCCACGGCAGCCAUUUUGUUGGAGCCGUGGCGGCCAUUUUUCAGAGCCACAUGGGCUCUGUGCGUUGCGAACAGCCAGGUCUCACCCAAGAACUGGCCUGCUGGCCAUGUGGCCACCCUCCUCUCUCCCUAUAUCAAGGGAGAUAGCCCAGUUUUUCAGCUAUCCCUCUACUUACUGUGCCUGUCUCACAUGCUGCAUAUGUAACAGAUCCUGGAUAGCAGAAUCUGUCCCAGGCAUGCUCACAACUGCAGCUUACUAUGUCUGAUGCAAUGUGACUAGGUUCUCUAUCUUAGCAGUAGACUUGUCACACUUUUUUUACUAUUACAUGUGAAUCUCAGAUUUAAAUGUUACUGCUCAAAUAAAAAUCUUUGUUUAACAAGAAUGUGCCACAUGUGUUAUAUGCUAAUCAAGUCUUCCUCUAAGGUUCAGUCUUUUUCUCAUAAAAUUAAUGGCCUGUUUUUCAGCACCUAGCUCCCCUGCCUAGGAUUUGCUGCCCUUCCUGCAAGGGACUUAAAUUUUCCACUACACAUACACUUCAAAAGUGUAUCCUAAUAUAAUACCUGAGUGGUCUGUGAGUCAGCUUCUCGCUAUAUGGACCCUCCUACCCCUCAGCGGGGCUACUGGCCCCACAUUCAGACCUGUUAUUACUGGGGGGUGAACCCCCCCCAUCCAUAUUUCUGGGGCUCUACCUGCUACUGGACCAUAAUAAUGGACGUGUGACACCAUUGUGGGCUGGGUGACCCCCUCCCUCUGGCAACAUGGCUACCUAUGAGUACCCUGCUGGCUCUACAGCGUCCUGUAAGAUUAAUGCUGAGGGUGACCCCCUCCUGCUUCCUAUACUAAUGCUCCGGCAAUAUCCUGCUAUUAUCAUACCGAGGGGGUACCCCUCCUGCAGUCUGCACUGCAGGACCUGCAGCGUCCGGGUAUUCCCAUAAAAGAGGGUACCCCUCCCACUGAUUGAGCUUCUGUUCUUACAGUGCCCUGCAAUACGCAGAUACUGAGGGUGACCCCCUCCUGUGGACUACUCUGCUGGACCUACAGGGUCCCGUUAUAACCAUAAUGAGGGUGACCCCCCCUCGCUGACUACACUGCUGGGUGUACAGACCUCUAUGAUACCACACUGAGGGUGACCCCCUCUUACCUACAGCACUGCUGGAUCUGCAAUGCCCGGUUCUGGUUAUAUGAGGGUGACCCCCUCCUGCCGUCUACACUGCUGGACCGGCAAUGUUUGGUUACUUUAUUAUACGGCUAACCACUUCGGCACUACUGUACCUACAGUGUCCGAUUAUGUUCAGACUGAGGGUGACCCCCUCCCCUGCUGGCCUAAACUGCAUGGUAUGCUUGUGCUUGUUGGGUGACCCCCUCUUGCACGCUGGGUGACCCCCAGCUGGCCGCACCACUGUACCUACAGUGUCCGAUUAUGUUCAGACUGAGGGUGACCCCCUCCCCUGCUGGCCUAAACUGCAUGGUAUGCUUGUGCUUGUUGGGUGACCCCCUCUUGCACGCUGGGUGACCCCCAGCUGGCCGCACCACUGUACCUACAGUGUCCGAUUAUGUUCAGACUGAGGGUGACCCCCUCCCCUGCUGGCCUAUACUGCAUGGUAUGCUUGUGCUUGUUGGGUGACCCCCUCUUGCACACUGGGUGACCCCCAGCUGGCCGCACCAGGUAUCAUUUGUGCAAUCACGGCUGAAGGACAAAUCUCCCGUACCCAGAAGGUCACUUGGCCUGUCCUCUUGCCGCUCCGCUGACCUCACUGCCAGAAACCAUCGGUGCCCUACAGGGACACUCCACCGGCCAUCCUAGACGCUACACCAAGCACCCCUGGUACUCGUUGGCUAACGGAUGGAUUCAUCAAGAGGAUCAGUCUUCAUGACGGAGUCCGGAAAGGACACCGCAAACACCUGACACGGGGUUUGCACUCUAUCUGGGACUAACCAGUGGGUGUCGGUGACACGCGGACACAGAUGUUUCCUUGGGACGAACGGCACGUUACCGCUUGGAAAGCGGAGAAGACUAAAUUCCCACUGGGAAUGGACCGAUAUGACUUAUAGGUAUCGCCUAGUUGGUUUCUACCCCUGAGAACCGCAAAACGGCCCCUGUCCAAGCUGGACAUCAAACUGAUGGAUUUAGCAUCCAAGUGCUGGGUCUGCUCUCCGGAGUUACCCUCGUCUACAAAUUGAGCCGACAUGUCUCUAUUCAUAGGGUUCCCCCUUAACUAGCCCAGAGGUCUCUCUGGCCGUGCCCGGACUCCAGAUCAAGGUUGCGGAACCUUGGACCGUUCCAUGAGCGAUACGCAUGACCAAAAGAGGCAUCCAUUCCGACUCAUUCCGCAGUUGCCCUGCUGGGCAAAGGGUGCGGUGGAGUGGACUCCCGCCCCAUCCCCACGCUACAUGCUCCCAGUGCAGGUCGUCUGUUGACACAUUUUGAGACGGAGGGCACUCAUCCCCUCUGAGAGCUGCUCGGCGUUGACGAUUGGUUCUCUCCCUCAAAUGCACAUGAGAGAAACCCGCAUGGAUUUUGCCAUCUACAUGGACAUAUUGAAUCUGACUCACUCCAAGUCAACCCAGUUUCCGGUCUUUCAUGGAAUAUUCGGUCCAGGCGGUGCUCCGCCUCCCGAGGACCAAGAUGUCUGUCUUCAAGGAAAAUACCAGGUAUAUGCUUCGCAACCUGCGGGUUACACUUAGG
rnacentral:lncRNA from 1 species